rnacentral:antisense_RNA from 1 species
AUGACGAGACGGAAGCCCAGAGGCUUUCAAUUGCUUGCCCAAAGUCACAGAGCCGGGAAGUGCAGAGCCAGGCCACUGCCUGGUUUUAAAUUCUGGGUGGAAAUGCAAUGUGCUGGUCAACAUGGUGUGCUGAUGUUUCUCCCUGCUGGGGCCAAUUCCACCACUCCCUGGAAAGUGAUGUGAUGACCCUGGGCUUGAGUCCAAAGAACACAGGAGAGUUUUGGCAGGUCGAUGGUGUGUUGGUGCCAACCCACUUAAAGCGAAAACACUGGGACCUAUAUUCAGAGACUUAACCGGACACCUGGACAGACCAUUACAACUUGGGACUUUUCAGGAGAAUGAGGGAAAUAUAGUUAUUGCACCUGAGCCUCACUCCAGCUCUGAGGUCCUCUUCACUUCUCUUUCGAAGAAGAUUUGAUAUCUUUUCCAAGUUGAAAGAGUAGAGAUCUAAUUUCUCCAAGGGUCAUUGCUUUUUGACACGGGAUUAUUAGAAGCAUUCAUUCAUCUAUCA